UACAGAGGUCUCAAGCGUUGUUCGGAUUCAUUGGGCGUAAAGGGUGUGUAGGUGGCGCCAUAAGUCAGGUGUGAAAUCUCGGGGCUCAACCUCGAAACUGCACUUGAUACUGUGGUGCUCGAGUACUGGAGAGGAGAUUGGAAUUUACGGUGUAGCAGUGAAAUGCGUAGAUAUCGUAAGGAAGACCAGUGGCGAAGGCGAAUCUCUGGACAGUUACUGACACUGAGGCACGAAGGCCAGGGGAGCAAACGGG
rnacentral:rRNA from 1 species